rnacentral:misc_RNA from 1 species
ACUUCAUCCGCCCCUCAAUUUCAGCUAUAUAUUCCUGGACGGAUGAAAGUUGGGCUCGGGCGGAAGCUGCUUCCUGACCCACCUUUUAGAUUUCCUGCCUCAAAUGAUGAGUCUUUUCCCGGAUGAUAUGUUGGUUCACCAAACUCUCCACACUCAGGCUCAUAGUCUGGGUCAGGAGAUCGUCGAGGUUGCUCAGGGUCAGCCUGUUCUGAUCCUCCUGAAGGCAGAUAGAGGUGCCCAGAACCUUAGCCAAACCCAGAUUCUCUCGAACAGUUCGAUUCUUCUCCAGGGAGUGAAUCAGGACUUGAGCGCCGCGGGAAAAGGUCAUUGUAGGAGGUUGGGAAGGACCCCCUUCCGCACUCGAAGCAACCGGUGGACGUGGCGGUUCUUCUUGUCGAGGAGGAGACCAGACCACUUCUAUUUCAGGGAUCGGUGGUCCCGAGGGUCAGGACGAGCCUCCCUGCAUCUCCCCUGGAUCGUGCCUUGGCGUCUGAGAGACCUCGGCGCGCUUCAUCUCCUGCUCUUUCCUGGAGAGCUCUCUCUUCCGCUUUCUGCUCUCUUUUGAAGCCUCGCCACUCGCCAUGCCUGCACAGAGAAAGAGUCAGUGAGUUAGCUAAGGCCCAGAGAUCAGAGAUGUAGAAAAUACCGGGGCCAAGGUCAGAGAGCUAAAGCCUGCGUUCUUCGCCGGUAACCAGCCGUAUCAUCCAAUGAUGCAGUUCGGCCAUCACCGCAUCUAAACAGGAAAACUUCUGAUUGGCUGCCUGAUCCUUCAGCUCCAUUACCAUUGCACCCUCUUCCCUACUCAGGGCGAUGUGCUUCGGAAGUGAUGGGCCCAGAUGCAGCUAGCUACGUGGGAAACCCUCAAAACCGUUCGGAAUCUCGCUCCUCAGAAUAAAUAAGUGAUUCUUCCAAUUCUUCAGUGAGGAGGGCAUAUCGGUAAAGAGCCCGCAAUGCGGCUUCGCUUGAAAGAACCAGUAUUCAUCAUCCUUUCGACGAGUUAGCCUAUGU